ensembl:lncRNA
AUAAGAUGUUGGUUGGCUCCAGGGCAGGGGUGGAUCAGUGGAUAAGAUGUUGGUGACUCCAGGGCAGGGGUGGAUCAGUGGAUAAGAUGUUGGUUGGCUCCAGGCCAGGGGUGGAUCAGUGGAUAAGAUGUCGGUUGGCUCCAGGGCAGGGGUAGAUCAGUGGAUAAGAUGUUGGUGACUCCAGGGCAGGGGUGGAUCAGUGGAUAAGAUGUUGGGUAAUUCCAGGCCAGGGGUGGAUCAGUGGAUAAGAUGUUUGUUGACUCCAGGGCAGGGGUAGAUCCGUGCAUAAGAUGUUGGGUGACUCCAGGGCAGGGAUGGAUCAGUGGAUAAGAUGUUGGUGAUUCCAGGGCAGGGAUGGAUCAGUGGAUAAGAUGUUGGUGACUGUAGGGCGGGGUAGAUCAGUGGAUAAGAUGUUGGUUGACUCCAGGGCAGGGGUAGAUCAGUGGAUAAGAUGUUGGGUAAUUCCAGGGCAGGGGUAGAUCAGUGGAUAAGAUGUUGGUUGACUCCAGGACAGGGGUGGAUCAGUGUGUAAGAUGUUGGGUGAUUCCAGGGCAGGGGUAGAUCAGUGGAUAAGAUGUUGGGUGAUUCCAGGGCAGGGGUAGAUCAGUGGAUAAGAUGUUGGUUGAUUCCAGGGCAGGGGUGGAUCAGUGGAUAAGACGUUGGUGACUCCAGGGCAGGGGUGGAUCAGUGGAUAAGAUGUUGGGUAAUUCCAGGCCAGGGGUGGAUCAGUGGAUAAGAUGUUUGUUGACUCCAGGGCAGGGGUAGAUCCGUGCAUAAGAUGUUGGGUGACUCCAGGGCAGGGCUGCAUCAGUGGAUAAGAUGUUGGUGACUGUAGGGCAGGGGUAGAUCAGUGGAUAAGAUGUUGGUUGACUCCAGGGCAGGGGUAGAUCAGUGGAUAAGAUGUUGGGUAAUUCCAGGGCAGGGGUGGAUCAGUGUGUAAGAUGUUGGAUAAUUCCAGGGCAGGGGUGGAUCAAUGGAUAAGAUGUCAGAAUACUGAUUGGAAGGUUUUGAGUUCAAAUCCCAGUGCUGCCACUCUUGGGCCCUUAAC